GAUGAACGCUGGCGGCAUGCCUUACACAUGCAAGUCGAACGGCAGCAUGGAGAGCUUGCUCUCUGAUGGCGAGUGGCGAACGGGUGAGUAAAGCAUCGGAACGUACCGUGUAGUGGGGGAUAACGUAGCGAAAGUUACGCUAAUACCGCAUACGCACUGAGGUGGAAAGCAGGGGAUCGUAAGACCUUGCGCUAUACGAGCGGCCGAUGUCAGAUUAGCUAGUUGGUAGGGUAAAGGCCUACCAAGGCGACGAUCUGUAGCGGGUCUGAGAGGAUGAUCCGCCGCACUGGGACUGAGACACGGCCCAGACGCCUACGGUAGGCAGCAGUGGGGAAUUUUGGACAAUGGGGGCAACCCUGAUCCAGCCAUGCCGCGUGAGUGAAGAAGGCCUUCGGGUUGUAAAGCUCUUUCGGCCGGGAAGAAAUCGCACAGGCUAAUACCCUGUGUGGAUGACGGUACCGGCAUAAGAAGCACCGGCUAACUACGUGCCAGCCGCCGCGGUAA
rnacentral:rRNA from 1 species